GGGUCGCCUGCGCCGAGUCCGGUGCGCCCGCACGGCAGCCGGAGCCGGGGACCCACUCUGAUCUUGGGGUGAAUCGGUCCGGUACCGAAUGCGCGCGGCAGGCCGCGCGCAGAAGGCGACGGACCGUAGGGCAGUCCUUCCGAACCACCCGCCCGAACCCGACAGCUAACCCGGUAGGCGGUCCACGGAAGGAGUC
rnacentral:sRNA from 2 species